AUGGACAAGGGGAUGAUUGGUCAAGGGGAUGAAACAGGAAGGCGAAUGCAGAGAUAUACUCAGACUUUGGGAAACCAAGAUUGCUAAGCGCGGAUAUCAUCGAGAGGUUGCGAUUGGUCCGUGGGACGGGAAGCGUGGCCAGGAGCCCUGGGAGCCGGACUGAGAGACUGUGAUUGGCCCACCGGCCACGGCGAAGGGCGGAAGGCAGCCGGGUUCCCCGGGAGCCCCCGGGAGCCGGUGCUCCCCUUACCUUUCCAGCAGGUCUAGUCGCAGCUGCCGGCCGUGGGGGAGGGUGAGCAACUCCAUGCCCCAGCGGACUCCCAUUAGGGUCUGCAUCUCCUUGGUAACGCCCAGUAUCCUAGCAACCUGCAAAGAUGCCCAGAGGGCUGAUUAAUUUCCUGCCAGGGCUGGCCCAAACCAUCUGGGAGUCAGAGGGCUUUGUCUAAGGGGGUAACCUGGCUGGGAGGCGGGUUUGAAUCCCAGCUCCACCGCUAACCCUCUGACAUGGAGCAAGUGAUUCUACCUUCCUGAGUGAGCCUCAGUUUCUCCAUCUGGGAAAUGGAGGAUAAAUGGGGAAAUGCCCAGAGGUGUCUGGCAUGUUAAAUAUUCAGUUAAGUUCAAGGAUGAGGACACCCCUAUUCCAGAAGGAAAACCUGAGGCUUAGGGAGGGAAUGGACUUGCCCAAGGUCACACAGUGGGCCUAGAACCCGGGUUCCUCCCUUCUCACCCUGUACUCUUCAUGGAGCAACAUCUCUGCCUCCUCUCUUUUCUUGCUUCCUGAGCUCUCAGAACAGUGUAACCAGGUAAUCAGUUCCUCCCGAACUGCAAAGGGAGAAACUGAGCCACAGAGACAACUGGGAUCCCUUGACGGUCAAAGACGCAUACAAAGCAAAGGCCCAGGCAUUGACAAUGUAAGGGCCGAGGAGAAAAUGAGAGGCAAGAUGACCAGCCUGGAGUCACAGAGCAGGGGGACAUCUCCACUUCCCUGUGUGGGUGAAGGCCAGGCCUGGAAGACUCUGACAAACUGACCAGCCCAUGGUGAUGCUCUGAAACACCUGGGCCCCAGGAGUUUGUAUGGCCCUACCCUGAGGCUACUGCGGCCUUGGGCUGCCACUGAACUAUUACUGUUAAAUACUUGGAGGAGGUUUUGGUGAUCCAGGGAAGCUAAGCACUUGCUGGAGUUCACUGUGCCACAUGGAAUCAUUUCUCCAAGAAUUGGUACUAAUGACUUAUUGGGUACACCUUGUGUGCCCGGAGCUGGACGUGCUGGAGAUAUACUGAUCACAGCAGUAAAACCAUCACCAAAAAUCAGAGGUGAUAAUUAUUGAUCCUUAGCGCUUGCAAGAUCCUUCUUUGUGCCAUAGUCCAUUUAACCCUCUCAACAUCCUGUGAAGUAUUUUUAUGGUCUUCAUUCUACAGAUGAGAAAACUGAGGCUCAGAGGGGUACACUGACUUGCCCAAGGUCACGCAGCCAGCAAAGGAUAGGGCUGGGAUUUAAGUACUGACUUCUGGGCUGCUUUACUAUGCCACAGUGCUCCGAAAUUGUCCAAUAAAUCAUUUCUAGCAAGCAAAAAUUUUAACUUUUACACUCAGGGGUGUUGUUUUCAAGGCAAAUUUGUAGUUAUGACAAAGUGGGCAGCUCUGUACUUAGAGAAGGAUUUGUGACGACCCACACAGACAGCAAAUCUUCAAUGGGGAAAGCGCUUCCCAGAGGUUCCUCUUGCCCCUACCCCCCACCGGGACAAAUUUGUAGACAAUUCUGACUGUUGAAAGCAUUGUUUUUUUGUUUUUUUGUUUUUUUGUUUUUUCAGAAAUGAACUGCUGGCAUUUUUCUAUGAGAGAAACUUUCUUUGUAUUUAUAAGAAAGCACGUGCUCUGUACUUUCCUCUCAAGUUUGCUGGGAACCUAAACCUGCUCUA